CAAUAGCGUAUAUUAAAGUUGUUGCAGUUAAAAAGCUCGUAGUUGGAUUUCUGGUUGAAGCGACCGGUCGGGCGUUGAUUCGUCUGCACUGGAGUCGGUUUUGGCCAUCCUCUAGGAAAGUGCGUCUGGUAUUAAGUUAUCGGGCGUAUGAUCCUGGUCUUUUACUGUGAAAAAAUUAGAGUGUUUAAAGCAGGCCUUCGCCUUGAAUACAUUAGCAUGGAAUAAUAAGAUAGGACUUUGGUCUAUUUUGUUGGUUUGCAGACCGAAGUAAUGAUUAAUAGGGAUAGUUGGGGGUAUUUAUAUUCCGAUGUCAGAGGUGAAAUUCUUAGAUUUUCGGAAGAUAACCUUAUGCGAAAGCAUUUACCAAGGAUGUUUUCAUUAA
rnacentral:rRNA from 1 species